CCUACGGGAGGCUGCAGUGGGGAAUAUUGCACAAUGGGCGCAAGCCUGAUGCAGCCAUGCCGCGUGUGUGAAGAAGGCCUUCGGGUUGUAAAGCACUUUCAGCGGGGAGGAAGGCGUUAAGGUUAAUAACCUUGGCGAUUGACGUUACCCGCAGAAGAAGCAACGGCUAACUCCGUGCCAGCAGCCGCGGUAAUACGGAGGGUGCAAGCGUUAAUCGGAAUUACUGGGCGUAAAGCGCACGCAGGCGGUCUGUCAAGUCGGAUGUGAAAUCCCCGGGCUCAACCUGGGAACUGCAUUCGAAACUGGCAGGCUAGAGUCUUGUAGAGGGGGGUAGAUUUCCAGGUGUAGCGGUGAAAUGCGUAGAGAUCUGGAGGAAUACCGGUGGCGAAGGCGGCCCCCUGGACAAAGACUGACGCUCAGGUGCGAAAGCGUGGGGAGCAAACAGGAUUAGAUACCCCAGUAGUC
rnacentral:rRNA from 1 species